rnacentral:rRNA from 1 species
GAUGAACGCUGGCGGCGUGCUUAACACAUGCAAGUCGAACGGAAAGGCCAGUGCUUGCACUGGUACUCGAGUGGCGAACGGGUGAGUAACACGUGGGUGAUCUGCCCUGCACUUCGGGAUAAGCUUGGGAAACUGGGUCUAAUACCGGAUAGGACCACUUCGUUGUUGUUGUGGUGGAAAGUUUUUUCGGUGUGGGAUGAGCUCGCGGCCCAUCAGCUUGUUGGUGGGGUAAUGGCCGACCAAGGGGUCGGCGGGUGGCCGGCGUGAGAGGGUGUACGGCCUGGGUGGGAGAGAGUGCCGGCCCUGCGUCGGGCGGGAGCAGGGAGGGGGGAUGAGUGAUGGGUGGGAGGAAGACGGAGGAACGGAGGGCGCGGGGGGAAGGACGGCCGUUGGUAUGUAAACUCCUUCUGCCAAAAAGGAUUUUUGACGGUAUUUGGUAAAGAAGCACCGGCUAACUACGUG